rnacentral:rRNA from 1 species
ACGCGCCAAGGAAAACCGAAACGAAGCGCCCGGCCCCAUCUCAUGCCCCGUACGCGGUGUGCAUGGACGGGGGUGAGGUGCGCCUCUUGAAAUGUCAAAACGACUCUCGGCAACGGAUAUCUCGGCUCUCGCAUCGAUGAAGAACGUAGCGAAAUGCGAUACUUGGUGUGAAUUGNAAGAAUCCCGUGAACCAUCGAGUCUUUGGAACGCAAGUUGCGGCCCGAAGCCUUCCGGGCCGAGGGCACGUCUGCCUGGGCGUCACGC